UGCCAGUACGUGGUCGCCACUCCAGGA
rnacentral:sRNA from 1 species